GUACACUCCUACGGGAGGCAGCAGUGGGGAAUAUUGCACAAUGGGCGCAAGCCUGAUGCAGCCAUGCCGCGUGUAUGAAGAAGGCCUUCGGGUUGUAAAGUACUUUCAGCGGGGAGGAAGGCAAUACGGUUAAUAACCGUGUUGAUUGACGUUACCCGCAGAAGAAGCACCGGCUAACUCCGUGCCAGCAGCCGCGGUAAUACGGAGGGUGCAAGCGUUAAUCGGAAUUACUGGGCGUAAAGCGCACGCAGGCGGUCUGUCAAGUCGGAUGUGAAAUCCCCGGGCUCAACCUGGGAACUGCAUUCGAAACUGGCAGGCUUGAGUCUUGUAGAGGGGGGUAGAAUUCCAGGUGUAGCGGUGAAAUGCGUAGAGAUCUGGAGGAAUACCGGUGGCGAAGGCGGCCCCCUGGACAAAGACUGACGCUCAGGUGCGAAAGCGUGGGGAGCAAACAGGAUUAGAAACCCCAGUAGUCCCAU
rnacentral:rRNA from 1 species